rnacentral:rRNA from 1 species
GACCUGACUGCUAUCGGAUUGAUACUAAGCCAUGCGAGUCUUUGUAGUAAUACAAGGCAUACGGCUCAGUAACACGUAGUCAACCUACCUUAUGGACGAGGAUAAUCUCGGGAAACUGAGGAUAAUACUCGAUAGACCAUCAUUCCUGGAAUGGUUGGUGGUUGAAAUGAUUCGUCGCCAUAGGAUGGGACUGCGGCCUAUCAGCUUGUUGGCGAGGUAAUGGCUCACCAAGGCGAUUACAGGUACGGGCUCUGAGAGGAGAAGCCUGGAGAUGGGUACUGAGACACGGACCCAGGCCCUAUGGGGCGCAGCAGGCGAGAAAACUUUGCAAUGUGCGAAAGCACGACAAGGUUAAUCCGAGUGAUUUCUGCUAAAGGAAUCUUUUGCUAGUUCUAAAAAUACUAGUGAAUAAGGGGUGGGCAAGUUCUGGUGUCAGCCGCCGCGGUAAAACCAGCACCUCAAGUGGUCAGGAGGAUUAUUGGGCCUAAAGCAUCCGUAGCCGGCUCUUCAAGUUUUCGGUUAAAUCUAUACGCUUAACGUAUAGGCUGCCAAAAAUACUGUAGAGCUAGGGAGUGGGAGAAGUAGACGGUACUCGGUAGGAAGGGGGUAAAAUCUUUUGAUCUAUUGAUGACCACCUGUGGCGAAGGCGGUCUACCAGAACAUGUUCGACGGUGAGGGAUGAAAGCUGGGGGAGCAAACCGGAUUAGAUACCCGGGUAGUCCCAGCUGUAAACGAUGCAGACUCGAUGAUGUAUUAGCAUAUAGCUGAUACAGUGUCGCAGGGAAGCCGUUAAGUCUGCCGCCUGGGAAGUACGUACGCAAGUAUGAAACUUAAAGGAAUUGGCGGGGGAGCACCACAAGGGGUGAAGCCUGCGGUUCAAUUGGAGUCAACGC